GCCACUGGAGAAAGAGACAGCUAGAUGGAGGGGACAGGCUCAGGGGUAGGGGGACUUCAUGCCCCGUGCCAGCAGCAUCUCAACCAUUGGCAGGGAACACCCGCCCCUCCACGCAGCCCCUUCAUGCCCUCUGAUGCUUUCUCCAAAACGAAGAAGCGGACGUCUCUGGGGCGGCUACUUGAGAAGUUACAUUCAAGGCGGACUCGGUUCCCAGAGCGAAUCUCAGAAGAGGGGAUGAUCUGCUGGACCCUGACAUCCUUGGGGGCAUCUGGAGAGCAAGGGCCUCAGGCUGGCCUCUUGGGUCCCUUUCCCUCUUCCCGUCCCCAUGAUUUCCUCUCCCCUUGGCCCUGAGGCCAGAUUCUCAGCCCUUAAUUCUCUGCGAAGGUUCCGGCCCAGGCCCUAGGUCCCUCGCCCUGAGAACCCAUAUCACAGCUGGGCUACCUCUUGGGUGCCCUUGCCCAGUCACUCACACUGGACAUCCAGGUUGACAAUGGGAGCCCACGAACACCACUGGUUACAGGCUGCACAGGUGAUUGGCCUGGUGUUCCAGGCAACUUUUUGAAUUAUCAGCACCUCAUGUGGUUGUUUCAUCUGAGAGCCUUGGAAGUUCCAUACAUAUUGGGUAACUCCGGGAUUGCUGGAGCUGUAGUUACAGGACAGGGUCACAGUAUCUCCUUCUUGAAUCCGCAUGGGGUUUUCAAUCACCGUGGUUACCUCUUUGGGAGCAUCUGGGAGAAAACCAGACAGAUGGGCGAGGAAAAGUCUGCUGUCCAGGCUACCUUUCCCAGGGCCUUCUCCACCACGCCCCACCCCAGCAUAUCCCCUGCAUUCACACAGUUCCUAAAUCAACCAAAGGAAGGCUUGUGCUUCCCUCCUGGGUCUGUACGAGGACCAGAGCCCUGGCUGUGGUCUGAGGCGUGGUGACUAGAGCAGAGCUCAAGCAGAGAAUGCAUGGGGUAUGCAAGGUAGAAGUGCUCCAUCUGUGGGUCUCCUCGGGGACCUGGGGCACAGCGCUAGUCUGCUGUAGUGCAGGCAUUAAGGGGGGGGGGGGGGGAGUGCGGAGCACAGCCCUGGAGCCGGAUGGGCUGAGAGCUGAGUGAUGGUGGGCUGUGGGACUCAGUGUGCUCUCCAUCAGAUGGAGUCCUAAGAACACCUGACCUGGUAGAGUCCCUGCCAGGGGGACCUGGGAUGAAGCCCUCAGAGAGGAGUAAACAGUCUGGAAACGUGGCUGUUGCUGCUGCUUCACACACCCACUGUCUAGAUGUUCAGGGUUCGAGCAUCCCCAUCAGAGUGAGUAUCUGACUCAGACUCGGACAUCUCGGGGUCCAAGGCUCAAACUUAGGGAUUCUCUUGGUCCCGGGCUUGACUGACAGACGAGACUAUGCUAAACAGGGUCUGGCCUCUGAUGAGAGGCGUGAGACAUUUUGCUCCAGUUCUCAAAACUUCAGGCCCCCUUCUGGAGCUCCAGCACUGUCUAAGUGACACCAAGUUCUCCGCGUCCCUCACGGGCCCUGGCAUCUUGCUGUUCAUUCAUUCAGCAAACAUCUACUGAGCACCUGUUACGAGCCAGACCCUGUUCUGACGCUGGGUAUACAACUCAGAACAGUAGUGAGGCACCUGCCCAAGGAGCGUACGUGUCGGGAGACCCCCUGCUUGCCAGGGGGGUCCAGGACUCUCCUUCACCCCAUUGGCCUGCCUCCUUCUCCCGCUAGAACCCGGAGGCUCUGUGACUACUCACACUGGAUGUCUAACUCAGUCUCCUGGCCAAUUUGACUAGAACCAAGUCUGUUUUCUGCCAUGCAUGAGUAUUUCCCAGCUUGGCUGAGGAGAACCGCUGGGAUCUGGAAGAUCUUGCUUGUCCUUCCCGGCACUGCCACCCCGUUGUGAUACCAGGUGUAAUUGGUUGGAGGAGGAUUGGCCAGUGACAUACAAGUCAUCACUACUUGAUCCCCCUCCUUAGCUGUCGAGGAGAAGAUCUCAACCCUGGAAGGUUCCGGAGCAUCUGCAGAGGCAGAAGAGGGAGGUGAACAGAGGCCCCUGUUGCUCCAGGGCCUCAGUUCCACGCCCUGCUAACUCCCUGCCUGCCCCCCGCUCCCAGCUCCCAGGAGGCUCACAAUACACUUGGAGGACCACUGCAUCCGACUGUCCUGAGCCUACGUCAUUGAAGGCCUCACACUGGUACUUUCCACUCAUCUUCUUGGUCACAGAGAACAGAGUUAGCGUGGAUGUCUUCUGCUCCCUCAGCCGGGUGCCGUCUUUGAGCCAGGCUAUGUUCCGGACCUCUGGGUUGCUGCUAAUGACCUGGCACGUCAUGGUCACAGACUCUCCCUCUGUUACAUUGACUUCUUUGGGACUGCCCUCAAUCUUCAACUUUGGGACAUCUGGAGGAGCAGAGGGGCAGCGGGAGAGGGGGGCGGAGACUUCUCAGAGGGGGCCACGUGGGGUGGGAUGUUACAGGGCUUUGAUUCAGAUAAAGCAGCGGCCUAUACACAGUGGGUGAGGGUGGGCGGAACUUGCUGUCCCCCUUGUCAACAAGGGUGGGCUGGUCCAAGCACCUGGUGACUGUCACCACACUCCUAACCAGUCUCUGCUCUGUGCACCACCCUUUAACCUGUUCCCAGAGUUCUGGUCUCCACCAGCAGUCAGCUGUCUUCCUGAUCCUGUCCGUCAGACUUGGCCCCUCCCCUGCUUGAAACUGCUCAGUGGAUUCCCCAUGCAGAAUAAAAUCCAAAACUGCACUGCCACCCACGAGGUCUGGCGUUGGCCCUCCUUUCCUACCACUUGGCCCCUUGGACACAGGUCUGAGGCUCUCCGGCCCCUCACUCUGACCCAGGUGCACCAAGCUCCCGCCCCCAGGCCUUUGUCCUUCCUCUUUUCUUUUCCUGGGAUCUUCUGGCAAAUAGCUGCCUGUCUCAAUCUUUCCCUCCACCCAAGCUCACUGUCCUCAGAGAGGCCUCUGUCCCUCCCUCUCUCUGUCGGAGCCCAGCUUUGCUUCCCUCUAAUACACUUAUCACUGCCUACCCUUAA